rnacentral:rRNA from 1 species
UNGUCUGUGAAAUUCCGGGGCUUAACUUCGGGGUGGCAGGCGAUACGGGCAUAACUAGAGUGCUGUAGGGGAGACUGGAAUUCCUGGUGUAGCGGUGGAAUGCGCAGAUAUCAGGAGGAACACCGAUGGCGAAGGCAGGUCUCUGGGCAGUAACUGACGCUGAGGAGCGAAAGCAUGGGGAGCGAACAGGAUUAGAUACCCUGGUAGUCCAUGCUGUAAACGGUGGGCGUUAGGUGUGGGGACCGGUUUGGUUUCUGUGCCGUAGCUAACGCAUUAAGCGCCCCGCCUGGGGAGUACGGCCGCAAGGCUAAAACUCAAAGGAAUUGACGGGGGCCCGCACAAGCGGCGGAGCAUGUGGAUUAAUUCGAUGCAACGCGAAGAACCUUACCUGGGUUUGACAUGCACCAGACGGUUGUAGAGAUACGUACCUCCCUUUGUGGUUGGUGUGCAGGUGGUGCAUGGUUGUCGUCAGCUCGUGUCGUGAGAUGUUGGGUUAAGUCCCGCAACGAGCGCAACCCUUGUCUUAUGUUGCCAGCACUUUGGGUGGGGACUCAUGAGAGACUGCCGGGGUUAACUCGGAGGAAGGUGGGGAUGACGUCAAAUCAUCAUGCCCUUUAUGCCCAGGGCUUCACACAUGCUACAAUGGUUAGUACAACGCGCGGCAAGCCUGUGAGGGUGAGCGAAUCGCUGAAAGCUAAUCUCAGUUCGGAUUGGGGUCUGCAACUCGACCCCAUGAAGUCGGAGUCGCUAGUAAUCGCAGAUCAGCAAUGCUGCGGUGAAUACGUUCCCGGGCCUUGUACACACCGCCCGUCACGUCAUGAAAGUUGGUAACACCCGAAGCCCAUGGCCUAA